AGCACUUUGAGAAGCUGAGGCAGAAGAAUCACUUUGAGCGCAGGAGUUUGAGACAAGCCUGGGCAACAAAGCAAAACCCUGUCUCUACAAAAAAUAAUAAAAAAAUAAAAAUUGCCAGGUUCUGGGGUGUGCACCUGUAGACCCCAGCCAUUCAGGAAUCUGAGAGGGAGGAUCCCUCAGUCACAGGAGUUUGAGACCAGCCUGACCAACAUGGUGAAACCCUGUCUCUACUAAAAAUACAAAAAAAAAAAUUAGCUGGGCAUGGUGGUGCACGCC
rnacentral:lncRNA from 10 species